rnacentral:rRNA from 1 species
UACGUAGGGGGCAAGCGUUGUCCGGAUUUAUUGGGCGUAAAGAGCGUGUAGGCGGCCUGACAGGUCUGCUGUGAAAACUCGAGGCUCAACCUCGAGAUGUCGGCGGAAACCGUCUGGCUAGAGUCCGGAAGAGGAGAGUGGAAUUCCUGGUGUAGCGGUGAAAUGCGCAGAUAUCGGAAGGAACACCUGUGGCGAAAGCGGCUCACUGGACCAUAACUGACGCUGAUGCACGAAAGCUAGGGGAGCAAACAGG